rnacentral:lncRNA from 1 species
GAUCACUAAAUGCUUUCCCACUGCCAACUGUUACCAGCCUCACCCCGGAGUGUUUAGUUUGGGCUCAUAGUUUGCCAGGACAGCCCAUCACAGCUGAAAGUCAUCACAAUAGGGGCACGGAGCAGCUGGUCCCAUGUGUCCUCGGUCAGGAAGCAGAGAGAGAUGAAUAGGUCUCUUUAGUACAGGUUUGCCUUUUCAUUCAGCACAAGACCCCAGCCUAUAGAACGAUACCAUCCACGUUCAAAGUGGGUCUCCCAACUUUCAGGUGUAGUUUCACACAUGUGUAGGGAACUGUGGUUUCAGUUUCCAAGUGUAGAAACUCCCUCUAGACAUGCCCAAAGGUCCCUUUCCAUAGUGAUUCUAGAUCCUGCCAAAUUGACAACCAAUAUUAACCACACAGGCACUGCGGGUAUACAGGGGUUUUAUUGGUUAAUAGUGGGAAGAGCACAGGUACUUUAUGAAAAAGCAUCACUUAAAUGUAAAAGGUCUGCAAUGAAAUCAGAGGUUUUGUUUCCCAUCCUUAUGAUGUACAUGGGUAUUCAGAAAUAAUUCUUGAGGUCACGUUUAUAGCACAGAUCCCGCUCCAGUAGGUUGACUGUGAGAAAGCAAGCGUGUUUUCUUAAAGCUCUUCUAAGGUUGUAUGUGUUGGUUACAGGGACUCUAACCUGGCCCCAGCACUCAGGAAACUGACUGUGAUCUCACUGUUAGCCUGGCUGGAGAAGUAGGGUGUGAAUUCUGUGUCUUAGGUCACAGAUGUAGAUUUUCUCUUUGCUGGUUGUAUGUACAGAUACAGAAAUAUAUGUCCAGGGGUAUUAUAUAGUCAUCAUACACAUUAUUCUGUAUUGUAUGUAACAUACAUGUGAUCUUAAUCUCUAUGAUGGAAUAAAUCAUCACAGUUAUUAUAGG